rnacentral:lncRNA from 10 species
GUUCUGUGAGCUGCUCUAGCAGAUUAAUCGAACCCUAGAAGAGGAUUGUGGGAAGCCAAGUUUACAGCCAGCAGAAAAAUGAAACCAUCAAUGCCAGCGACAGGGUGCUGACCAGGCGGAGGCAGCACGGGGGAGCACAGAGGCUGGGUGUUUACUUAGCUUCCUCCCUCUGUACUCUCUCCACCCGGCCCCUCAGCCCACCGCUCUUCUCUUCCUGGGGCAGUUCCCUCUGCUGAGCGGGCUGGAUGGAGAUUUUCCAAGCAGGAAGAGGAGUAGAGCCUCGGUAGAUUAAGUUCAGCUGUCUCCUUCAUUGUACUGGCUCAGGGCUGGCCGGGAUCCUCUCUGCUAGGGGCUUGAGGUGGAGGCAGGACGGCUCAGGAGGACCCACUGAGGAUCAUUCUGCAGUCUCUGCAGGUGCUGGUCAGGUUCUCAGCGCUCAGGCUGCAGGUAGCUGGGCUUCCACAAGGGGGCAGGUGCUCUGCGGGGUGCACCCCUGGAUCACCCGUGCCCUGGCAAUAAUUCAUGCUCCUGAGAUACCUUUCCAAUCGGUAUCUUCCAGCCUUCCCCUGCUCCCAGGCUCCGUGUGGGCAGGAGCUGAGUCUUCUUCAACUUGAU